GUGCCAGCCGCCGCGGUAAUACGUAGGGCCCGAGCGUUAUCCGGUAUUAUUGGGCGUAAAGAGUGCGUAGGCGGUUCAGUAAGACAAUGGUUAAAUCCCCGGGCUCAACUCGGGACCAGCCGUUGUUACUGCUAAACUAGUCGAUAGCAGGGGCAAGCAGAAUUCUCGGUGUAGGAGUGAAAUCCGUUGAGAUCGAGAGGAAUACCAAUGGCGAAGGCAGCUUGCUAGGCUAUAUGAGACGCUGAGGCACGAAAGCGUGGGGAGCGAACGGGAUUAGAUACCCCCGUAGUCC
rnacentral:rRNA from 1 species